GUGCCCACUUCAGCAGCACAUACACUUAAAUUGGAACAAUACAGAGAACAUUAGCAUGGCCACUGUGCAAGGAUGAAACGCAAAUUUGUGAAGCAUUCCAUAUUUUU